rnacentral:rRNA from 1 species
UACGUAGGGGGCAAGCGUUGUCCGGAUUUAUUGGGCGUAAAGCGCUCGCAGGUGGUUCAUUGCGUCGUGCGUGAAAGACCCCGGCUCAACUGGGGAGGGUCGUGCGAAACGGGUGAACUAGAGGCCAGUAGGGGGAUGCGGAAUUCCGGGUGUAGUGGUGGAAUGCGUAGAGAUCCGGAGGAACACCAGUGGCGAAGGCGGCGACCUGGGCCAAUAUUGACGCUGAGGUGCGAAAGCGUGGGGAGCAAACAGG